rnacentral:rRNA from 1 species
UACGUAGGGACCAAGCGUUGUUCGGAUUUACUGGGCGUAAAGGGCGCGUAGGCGGCUUGACAAGUCACUUGUGAAAUCUCCGGGCUUAACUCGGAACGGCCAAGUGAAACUGUCAUGCUAGAGUGCAGAAGGGGCAAUCGGAAUUCUUGGUGUAGCGGUGAAAUGCGUAGAUAUCAAGAGGAACACCUGAGGUGAAGGCAGGUCACUGGGCAGUUACUGACACUGAGGCACGAAGGCCAGGGGAGCAAACGGG